UAAGACUUUAAGUUAAAAAAACUAUGUUCCUUCAAAGUACAAAUUAAUUAAAAAAAUUAAGUCUUAG
rnacentral:tRNA from 1 species